rnacentral:rRNA from 1 species
UUACCUACGGGUGGCUGCAGUGGGGAAUUUUGGACAAUGGGCGCAAGCCUGAUCCAGCCAUGCCGCGUGCGGGAAGAAGGCCUUCGGGUUGUAAACCGCUUUUGUCAGGGAAGAAAAGGGUGUUUCUAAUACAGACGCCUUAUGACGGUACCUGAAGAAUAAGCACCGGCUAACUACGUGCCAGCAGCCGCGGUAAUACGUAGGGUGCAAGCGUUAAUCGGAAUUACUGGGCGUAAAGCGUGCGCAGGCGGUUAUGCAAGACAGAGGUGAAAUCCCCGGGCUCAACCUGGGAACUGCCUUUGUGACUGCAUAGCUAGAGUACGGUAGAGGGGGAUGGAAUUCCGCGUGUAGCAGUGAAAUGCGUAGAUAUGCGGAGGAACACCGAUGGCGAAGGCAAUCCCCUGGACCUGUACUAACGCUCAUGCACGAAAGCGUGGGGAGCAAACAGGAUUAGAUACCCUUGUAGUC